UCGUUGUUCCAGCCUAUCUAGGUCUGCAGUAGAUGCUAGAGGAAAGACACCACCCUCUUCCUCUUCAGCCAUCAGCAUUUGGGUACUCAAGACUGGAUUUUCCUGUCUCCAACAAGAAGUACCUUGUUUUCUGGUUUGCUAAAGAGCCUUACUGGAGCUCAAAAGGGGAGUUGGUGGAUGAGCACUCCAGCCGUUUCCAUGAUGGUCUACCUGAAGGAUGCCCACUGGAGCUGAGAAAGAUGGGAGUGGGUAAAAUUUGCUUGUUACUCAGACAAGUAAAUGCACAUUAA
ensembl:lncRNA